rnacentral:rRNA from 1 species
AACGAACGCUGGCGGCAGGCUUAACACAUGCAAGUCGAGCGCCCCGCAAGGGGAGCGGCAGACGGGUGAGUAACGCGUGGGAAUCUACCCAUCACUACGGAACAACUCCGGGAAACUGGAGCUAAUACCGUAUACGUCCUUCGGGAGAAAGAUUUAUCGGUGAUGGAUGAGCCCGCGUUGGAUUAGCUAGUUGGUGGGGUAAUGGCCUACCAAGGCGACGAUCCAUAGCUGGUCUGAGAGGAUGAUCAGCCACACUGGGACUGAGACACGGCCCAGACUCCUACGGGAGGCAGCAGUGGGGAAUAUUGGACAAUGGGCGAAAGCCUGAUCCAGCCAUGCCGCGUGAGUGAUGAAGGCCCUAGGGUUGUAAAGCUCUUUCACCGGUGAAGAUAAUGACGGUAACCGGAGAAGAAGCCCCGGCUAACUUCGUGCCAGCCGCCGCCGUAACAC